rnacentral:snRNA from 1 species
UUGCUUCAGCAGCAAAUAUACUAACAUUGGAAUGAUACAGAGAAGAUUAGCAUGGCCCCUGCUCAAGGAUGACACGCAAAUUUGUGAAGUGUUCCAUAUUUUU